rnacentral:rRNA from 1 species
UACGGGGGGAGCAAGCGUUGUUCGGAUUUACUGGGCGUAAAGGGCGCGUAGGCGGUCAGCACAAGUCAGUUGUGAAAUCUCCGGGCUUAACUCGGAAAGGUCAACUGAUACUGUGCGACUAGAGUGCAGAAGGGGCAACUGGAAUUCUCGGUGUAGCGGUGAAAUGCGUAGAUAUCGGGAGGAACAUCCGUGGCGAAGGCGGCUCACUGGUCCGGUACUGACGCUGAGGUGCGAAAGCGUGGGGAGCAAACAGG